rnacentral:lncRNA from 1 species
AUGAGUGGAUUCCUGUAUCGUGGCAGACACUAUAAUGGACAUAAAGCAGCCUGGCCCAAGAGCAUGAUCAACAUGGGCGAUUCCUCCAGUGCUGAUGCAGAGAAGAGCUCUGUUCUGCAGAUGCAUAGCCUGAGAGAGUUUGAACAGGUAGGUGCUUUCUUUCGUUUCCCUCAAAACUAGCGUUUGCAUGCAACUGCAAGCCUGUGAAAGCCAUUUGUCAGGCCUCUGAGUGGUUUUCACUGUGUUGAGAAUGUGGAUCUUUGGCAUUUGCCUGCAGAUACGAUGAUCAAGUAAACUAGUUGGAGGGCUUACUUAAAACACAGAUGUAAAUUUUAUACUUUGUUUUUUAGCGUAAUCAGAACCAUCCUCUUGUUGCGUAGCUAAUUACUCUUUAUACCAGUUCUGACAUCUUAAUACGCCAUCAAGCUGUCCUAGUUCAUUUUGGGAAUGCCUGAUUGUGAACAACAUCACUAUUGACAUGUUCUUUCAGCUCGUUGUCCUGUCUAAUCAGAUUUACCCAUGUCGCUGUCCAGUAAACACAAUGGAAUCCAUCUAGAGUCUCAACAACUACAUGUGUAUGUGCACAGCUGAGUAAACCUUCAUAUGGUUUUUGUAGUGUUUUUUAAUAUGAUUUCCAUAAAACACACUCUGGAGCAGAGCAGGAUCUGGAAUGUCUGAUGUACACACACUGCUGUGGUUUAUCUGUAUGCGAAAUUCUUUCUGGGAAGGGAGCCAGCAUAUUAUGGCUGUGAUAUAACUUUAGCCUUGCUACCUUCAAUUACGAGAGGCCUUUGUGAAAGACAGUUUUUUUUUUCUUAGGAAAGGUUCGGAGUGUGUGAAGUUUUGUGAAAAACAUGCAUGAAGACACCAAAGAAUAAGAUCACAAUCCACCGAUAAGAAUAUAAGAAGACAUAUUAGUACUUCAUAACAAAAUGCUUGACAAAAAUGUAAAGUUGUCUUAGCUGUUGUUUAUGACCCACUUAAUUCGGAUCUGAGUUACUCAGAUUUAUCCGCAGCUUAAUUUUCAUAAAUCUUCAUAUUCACUUCUUUGAAAUGAAGAAAUCUCAUCUGAUGCUCCUCAAAACUGCUGUAGUUGAAACUAGGCUUUAAUAGUGUUUUUUAUGACUGGG